rnacentral:rRNA from 1 species
AUUGAACGCUGGCGGCAGGCCUAACACAUGCAAGUCGAACGAGUGGCGGACGGGUGAGUAAUGUCUGGGAAACUGCCUGAUGGAGGGGGAUAACUACUGGAAACGGUAGCUAAUACCGCAUACCAUCAGAUGUGCCCAGAUGGGAUUAGCUAGUAGGUGGGGUAACGGCUCACCUGGGCGACGAUCCCUAGCUGGUCUGAGAGGAGAACAAGCCACACUGGAACGGAGACACGGUCCAGACUCGUACGGGAGGCAGCAGUGGGGAAUAUUGCAAAAUGGGCGCAAGCCUGAUGCAGCCAUGCCGCGUGUAUGAAGAAGGCCUUCGUGUUGUAAAGUACUUUCAGCGGGGAGGCGUUACCCGCAGAAGAAGCACCGGCUAACUCCGUGCCAGCAGCCGCGGUAAUUC